GCCCUUGUGGAUCAGUGGAGAUCAUCUCAAAGCUGUGUUUGGUGACAGAUAUUACAGAUAUUUCUUGAGAUGCAGGUUCAACUCCUGCCGAGGGCA